GUUUCACCAUGUUGGCUAGGCUGGUCCCGAACUCCUGACCUCAGGUGAUCCACCCACCUCAGCCUCCCAAGUUGUUGGGAUUACAGGCAUGAGCCACUGCGCCCUGCCUAUGAUGACCUUUAUAUUUUCAUAUGGAUUAAAGAUACCGUCCAGAGUGCUUUCAUUUCAUCUUGAAUGCUCGUUUUAGCAUUUCUUCUUGGACAGGUCUAGAAUACUAAUUAACUUCCUCAGCUCUUCUUUAGGAAAGUCUAAAAUUCGCCUUUAUUUUUGCAGGUGAGUUUUGCUAAGUGUAGUAUUCUUCAUUGCUGUUUUGCCUAUUUUUCUUUAAGCACUUUCAAUAUAUCACCUCACUGCUUUCUAGCCUGAAGAUGUCUGCUGGAAAAUAUAUAUAAUCUUACAGAGUUUAGUAUUGUCUGACAAGUCUCUUUUUUGUUGCUGCUGUCAAGAUUUUGUCUUUGUCUUUUUUUGACUCUUGAUAAUUUCUUUAUAGUAUGUCUCUGUGUGAAUGUAUUUGGGUUAAUUUUAAUUAGAAUGAUCAAAUCUCUUUUUUUUUUUUUUGAGACGGAGUUUCACUCUUGUUGCCCAGGCUGGAGUGCAGUGCCAUGCAUGAUAUUGGCUCACUGCAGCCUCCACCUCCCGGGUUUAAGCGAUUCUCCUGCAUCAGCCUCCCAGGUAGCUGAGAUUACAGGCACCCUCCAUGAUACUCCUUUUCAUGCAUCAUUUUCCUGAUUUCAUUUAAUUGUCUAUCUCAUUUAUGUUUCAGCUGGUUAAGCAUCUUAAGACAGUUGCUUUCAAAAUUUGUAAAGUAAUCAGAGGGCUGCCUUUUUCUAGGUUGGGUUUGUGGAGAUUUGGGUUUUUUUGUUUGUUUGUUUAUUUCAAUGUCCUUAUGUAGGCCUUGUAAUUUUUAUUUUAGGUUUGCUAAAACAACUUCUCCCAGGUUUUUUUGCUUGUUUGUUUUUGUUUUUGUUUUUUUUGAGAUGGAGUCUUUCUCUGUUACCCAGGGGCUGGAGUGCAGUGGCAUGAUCUUGUCUCACUUCAACCUCCACAUCCAAGAUUCAAGCAAUUCUCUUGUCUUAGCCUCCUGAGUAGCUGGGACUAGGCGCACACCAUCACGCCUGGCUAAUUUUUGUAUUUUUAGUAGAGACAGGGUUUCACCAUGUUGGUCAGGCUGGUCUCGAACUCCUGACCUCAGGUGAUCCGCUCACCUUGGCCUCCCAAAAUGCUGGGAUUAUAGGCAUGAGCCACCAUGCCCAGCCAGGUCUCUAACUAUUGACCUCAAGUUAUCCAUCCCCCCUUGGUUUCCCAAAGUGCUGGGAUUACAGGCAUGAGCCACUGCACUGGCUGUUCCAGUUCUUUUACAUAAGAACUGUACAAGGUGAGACCUUUACAAAUCAACCUGUUGUAAAGGGUGUGGGUGCCACCUGCAUGGACCUUGGGGGACUAAACAAAGGGAACAAAUGUGGGAAUAAAAGACAAAGACAAUAGAGUAUAUUUGGAAGAAAGGGUCAGGGGGCUCCUUGCUUCUAAUGGACAAGGGCCCUGAGCUUUAGAGCCCUUCACAUUUUAUUGGGUAAAAGAGGGAGAAGGGUGGGGGUGAUUGUCGGUCAGCGGCUUGAUUUACAGCAGGCUUGCAAGACUGCAUUCUUUGAACAAUAGGCUCUAGAUGUCCCAGUAGAUAAUCUCAGUGAGCACAGUGCCAGGGAAUGAUUGCCUCCAGCAAACCUUCUGGCGGUAGGCGCAGUCAUGAGUUUGCCCACAUCCUGCAUUCAUGAUAAACAGUUUGCUGUUUGGUCAUAUAGCCUCCAGUGGAACGCUGAGUUGGUCAUGUCUCUCAGGCCAUCGGCUCCCUACAUCUCCCCUUUGUGUUUAUGUAUUACUGUUACAGAUUUGUCUAAGCAUUGGCCUACCUAAAAGUUCUGUUGGAGAUAGGGGGUAGAGAGAAUAAACAAAAACAAAGGUUUUUGUGGCUGUAGCCGGGAGGCAUGUCUCUGCUGAAGCAUUUGCUCUAUAAGCUAUAAUUCCUCUUCAGCCUGUUAAGGGGCACAGGGAAUUUAAGGAAGAAUCUCCUUGCAGGGUUUGGUAAAGAUGUGUAAGUUGAUAGGUGGCAAUACCUAGCAUAGGGCGUAGCCAAUUAAUAUCUCCUAGUAUUUGUUGAAAAUCAUUUAAAGUCUAUAAUGUGUCUUUACCAAGAACUGCUUUCUAUGGCCGUACACUCCUCUCCGUAACAAUAUUUCCUACGUAAUGGUAUGGGGAAGUUAUUUGCACUUUCUCUGGAGCAAUUUUGGGAUUCCGUUUAACAAGAUCUUGCUUUACAUCUCUGAGUAAUUGAUGUAAAUUUGAUCUGUAGGAGUGGCCAGAAGAAUAUCAUCCAUAAAAUGAAUGAUAUACGCAGUGGGAAACAUAUUUUGAGACUCCUUUAAUGCUCUUCCUACAAAAUGGUGACAUAAUGUAGGACUGUUAAGCAUGCCUUCAAGUAAAACUUGCCAUUGAUAGCAAGAAACAGGUUCUCUAUGAUUAAUAGAAGGCAUAGAGAAGGCAAAUUGAGGCUUAUGCUUCUC
rnacentral:lncRNA from 10 species